AAUCAACGCUGGCGGCGUGCCUAACACAUGCAAGUCGAACGGCAGCACGGGGGCAACCCUGGUGGCGAGUGGCGAACGGGUGAGUAAUACAUCGGAACGUGCCCCGUAGCGGGGGACAACCAGUCGAAAGACUGGCUAAUACCGCAUACGCUCCACGGAGGAAAGCAGGGGAUCGCAAGACCUUGCACUAUGGGAGCGGCCGAUGCCCGAUUAGCUAGUUGGUGAGGAAAGGCUCACCAAGGCAACGAUCGGUAGCUGGUCUGAGAGGACGACCAGCCACACUGGGACUGAGACACGGCCCAGACUCCUACGGGAGGCAGCAGU
rnacentral:rRNA from 1 species